UUUACUGCUGCGACUGGUUCCAGAGUCCCAGAUGGACUUUUGUUCAGUGGUCAGAAUCCACAUCUGGCAGGGCCUCGAGCCCACAGAGCUGCAGCCACAUCUGGAGAGACCACCUCUGUAUCAAACAUGCUGAUAUCAGAGACACACUGCAGAUUAUGUCUCUCUGUACAAUGAAGCUUCAGCCGUCUGUAGGAGAUGAAAUAUGACUUUUACACAGUAUUACCUGUCUGUUUCAAAACUAUCUAACAUGUUUGUUUUGCCUUUCAGAUCCAGUCUUAAAGGACAGAACAGGUGAAAACAUCCCAGGUGCAUCUCCAAAGCCCUGCAUCACAAUACUGGAUCAAACAAAGGACUGGUCUCUGCUGCAGUGUGAAGUUCAAGGAGCUUCUCCAGAACCUAAAGUGGAGUGGCAGGACAGCUCUGGAAACAUCCUUCCUGCUGAGGAGCGUCAGGUCUCAGAGAGAGGAGGUCGUUACUACGUUACCAUCAACACCACUGUGACCAAAACUGACCACUACAGCUGUGAAGUCACUCAGGAGGAAAUUAGCCAUCAGAUUCAUUCUGAGACCUUCGUGUUUAUCAGUGGUGAGAUUUGUGUCUUGAUGUUUUACUCCCAAAAUUGUGUUUUUCUGUGUCCAUCCUCUGUCAUCUACAGUAACACUUUGAGUUUUACAUGAACUCUUUGUGACGUGUUUCAGAGAACUCAUCCACCAAAGUGGUCAUUGGAUGGCUGUUUGGUGGAAUCGUUAUAGGAGCUGUAGUUCUCGUCGUAGUUCUUGUUGUGCUUAUGGCUACAAAGUGCAUCACAGUGACCUCUAUUCGAGGUAAGUUAAUGUUAUGUAUUGUAUGAAUAUAUCAACACAUCAUGUGCAGACAUCAACAUUACAGAAACACUGUGUGAUACAAUCACAUCCAGUUUGUUUUUGUUUCCUCAGAUUUCAACCCUUCUGUUUAAUUACAUCAGGCCUCUGGUUCUAAUACUGAACGUUUAAAUGGAUCGUUGCCUAACACUAGUGCUGGGCGGUAUGACCAAAAAUGUAUAUCACUGUAUUUUUCAAAAUUCCUACGGUUUCACGGUAUAUGACGGUAUUUUUUUUCAUGCAUAAUCAGGUGUUCACAGCAUUUUCUACUGGUUGAGAGAACAAUUACUAGCCCCUUUUAGAUAGAAAAGGCGGCACAUUUGCUGCAAGGUAAAGGCAGCACUCUAUCCAUCUAUAAGGGAGGUGUAAUUUUCCUCUCUCAACCAGUUUCUCAUUCCUUCUUCCCAAAAAGCGCCACUGAGGUAGGUGUAAACAUGUGACAUGACGUGAAGCACGAAGUUGGGCGUGAACAGUGACAUACAACAUAUGCAUCGGAAGAAAUAUGGCGACACAUGAUAGAUUUACUUAAUUAUAGACCCGUGGCCCAUAUUCUCGCCUCCUCAGUCAAACACACGCCAAUGUUAAAUCCCCGCUAUUAAAGGAAGCGUGCGGCGGAGCGCCUCGCCCCCUCCAUUAGCUGCCUCAAGCAACAGAUAGCUAACAGGAAGCAGGUCGAACUUGUCUUCAAAAUAAGAGCUUUAUAUUGCUCCUCACU
ensembl:lncRNA